rnacentral:rRNA from 1 species
UCUAAGCACAUGCCUUAACACGGUGAAGCCGCGAAUAGCUCAUUACAACAGCCAUCGUUUAUUAGAAUAUCGUUAUCCUACUUGGAUAACUGUGGCAAUUCUAGAGCUAAUACAUGCAAUAAAGCUCUGCCCGCAAGGAACGAGCGCAUUUAUUAGAAUAAAAACCAAUCGGGUUUCGGCCCGUAAUUUGGUGAAUCUGAAUAACUUUGCCAAUCGCACAGUCCUAGUACUGGCGAUGUAUCUUUCAAGUGUCUGCCUUAUCAACUUUCGAUGGUACGCUAUACGCCUACCAUGGUAGUAACGGGUAACGGAGAAUAAGGGUUCGACUCCGGAGAGGGAGCCUGAGAAACGGCUACCACAUCCAAGGAAGGCAGCAGGCGCGCAAAUUACCCACUUCCAGAACGGAGAGGUAGUGACGAAAAAUAACGAGACAGUCCUCUUCGAGGUCUGUCAUCGGAAUGGGUACAAUUUAAA